GUCCCUGUAGCGCGACGAAUAGCGCGUUAGACUUGUAAUCCAAAGGUCGUGGGUUCGAAGACCACCUGGGAUG